GGGUCAGGAGGUUGGUCGUGCCACCGGUACGUACUGGUCUCACUGAUUCCUCCUUCCUGAAGAACCGUAAUGCCAUUAAUUUGGUGUUGCGGGGAAACAGGACUGUUACUUUGAAAAAAUUAGAGUGUUUAAAGCAGGCUAACGCUUGAAUACAUUAGCAUGGAAUAAUGAAAUAGGACGAUCGAUCCUAUUUUGUUGGUUUCUAGGAUUGACGUA
rnacentral:rRNA from 1 species